rnacentral:rRNA from 1 species
GUUUGAUCCUGGCUCAGAACGAACGUUAGCGGCGCGCCUAACACAUGCAAGUCGAGCGAGAAAGGGCUUCGGCCCCGGUAAAGCGGCGCACGGGUGAGUAACACGUAGGCAAUCUGCCUCGAGGUGGUGGAUAACCCUCCGAAAGGAGGGCUAAUACAGCAUGAGACCACGUCGUCGAAAGACGAUGCGGCCAAAAGCCGGCCUCUUCAUGAAAGCUGGCGCCACGAGAUGAGCCUGCGGCCCAUCAGCUAGUUGGUAGGGUAACGGCCUACCAAGGCAAAGACGGGUAGCUGGUCUGAGAGGAUGAUCAGCCACACUGGAACUGAGACACGGUCCAGACUCCUACGGGAGGCAGCAGUGGGGAAUCUUGUGCAAUGGGCGAAAGCCUGACGCAGCGACGCCGCGUGAGCGAUGAAGGCCUCGGUGUAAG